CACAAAUAUGCAGGCGGGCUGGAACCUCUCGGGGUUACAGCCUUGCUGAAUUAUUCACCCUUGUCUUUUGCGUACUUCUUGUUUCCUUGGUGGGUUCGCCCACCACUAGGACAAACAUAAACCUUUUGUAAUUGCAAUCAGCGUCAGUAACAAAUUAAUAAUUA
rnacentral:misc_RNA from 1 species